UGCAAGCUUUAAUCGGAAUUACUGGGCGUAAAGCGCACGCAGGCGGUUUGUUAAGUCAGAUGUGAAAUCCCCGGGCUCAACCUGGGAACUGCAUCUGAUACUGGCCAGCUUGAGUCUCGUAGAGGGGGGUAGAAUUCUUGGUGUAGCGGUGAAAUGCGUAGAGAUCUGGAGGAAUACCGGUGGCGAAGGCGGCCCCCUGGACGAAGACUGACGCUUAGGUGCGAAAGCGUGGGGAGCAAACAGGAUUAGAUACCCUGGUAGUCCACGCCGUAAACGAUGUCGACUUGGAGGUUGUGCCCUUGAGGCGUGGCUUGCGGAGCUAACGCGUUAAGUCGACCGCCUGGGGAGUACGGCCGCAAGGUUAAAACUCAAAUGAAUUGACGGGGGCCCGCACA
rnacentral:rRNA from 1 species